rnacentral:rRNA from 1 species
AUUGAACGCUGGCGGCAUGCUUUACACAUGCAAGUCGAGCGGCAGCGCGGGGGCAACCCUGGCGGCGAGCGGCGGACGGGUGAGUAAUGCAUCGGAACGUAUCCCGUAGUGGGGGACAACCCAGCGAAAGCUGGGCUAAUACCGCAUAUGCUCUACGGAGGAAAGCAGGGGACUCGCAAGAGCCUUGUGCUAUGGGAGCGGCCGAUGUCCGAUUAGCUAGUUGGUGGGUAAAGGCUUACCAAGGCGACGAUCGGUAGCUGGUCUGAGAGGAUGAUCAGCCACACUGGGACUGAGACACGGCCCAGACUCCUACGGAGGCAGCAGUGGGAAUUUUGGACAAUGGGGCAACCUGAUCCAGCCAUGCCGCGUGCGGGAAGAAGGCC